CCUACGGGCGGCUGCAGUGGGGAAUAUUGGACAAUGGGGGGAACCCUGAUCCAGCCAUGCCGCGUGUGUGAAGAAGGCCCUCGGGUUGUAAAGCACUUUCAGUGAGGAAGGACGCCUGGUGGUUAAUACCCAUCAGGAAAGACAUCACUCACAGAAGAAGCACCGGCUAACUCCGUGCCAGCAGCCGCGGUAAUACGGAGGGUGCGAGCGUUAAUCGGAAUUACUGGGCGUAAAGCGCGCGUAGGUGGCUUGAUAAGCCGGUUGUGAAAGCCCCGGGCUCAACCUGGGAACGGCAUCCGGAACUGUCAAGCUAGAGUGAAGGAGAGGAAGGUAGAAUUCCCGGUGUAGCGGUGAAAUGCGUAGAGAUCGGGAGGAAUACCAGUGGCGAAGGCGGCCUUCUGGACUGACACUGACACUGAGGUGCGAAAGCGUGGGUAGCAAACAGGAUUAGAUACCCUAGUAGUC
rnacentral:rRNA from 1 species